UGGUAGUNCAUGCUGUAAACGGUGGGCGCUAGGUGUGGGCUGUGUGUUUGCAGUCUGUGCCGUAGCUAACGCAUUAAGCGCCCCGCCUGGGGAGUACGGCCGCAAGGCUAAAACUCAAAGGAAUUGACGGGGGCCCGCACAAGCGGCGGAGCAUGUGGAUUAAUUCGAUGCAACGCGAAGAACCUUACCUGGGUUUGACAUGCACCAGAUCGGCGUAGAGAUACGUCUUCCCUUGUGGUUGGUGCACAGGUGGUGCAUGGUUGUCGUCAGCUCGUGUCGUGAGAUGUUGGGUUAAGUCCCGCAACGANNNNANNNNUUGUCUUAUGUUGCCAGCACAUUUUUGGUGGGGACUCAUGAGAAACUGCCGGGGUCAACUCGGAGGAAGGUGGGGAUGACGUCAAAUCAUCAUGCCCUUUAUACCCAGGGCUUCACACAUGCUACAAUGGUCGGUACAACGGGUUGCGACAUUGUGAAGUGAAGCUAAUCUCUCAAAGCCGGCCUCAGUUCGGAUUGGGGUCUGCAACUCGACCCCAUGAAGNCGGAGUCGCUAGUAAUCGCAGAUCAGCAACGCUGCGGUGAAUACGUUCCCGGGCCUUGUACACA
rnacentral:rRNA from 1 species